GGAGGAUUGGCCGAGUGGUAAGGCACCGGCCCGCUCCCCUGUCCCGCACGGACCGGGAAGCGGGCCGCGGUCGGGCCUGGAAAGCCCGCGCACGUUCGAUCCGUGCAUCCUCCG
rnacentral:tRNA from 1 species